CUGCAACGUCCCGGAGCUGCCCCGAGCUCCGCGUCGUCUGCUCCGACGGCCAUAGGCCUCCACCCCCGCAGCUCACCCGUUGUCUGUCUCCAUCCUACAGAUAGCCAGUGAGUGGAGUAUCACGUCCCGAUAAUUCUUCUAUUCUGGUUGACGCAAAACUCAGUGGACUUUGGCCUGCACACUUCAACCAAGUCGUCUCGGAGCUGCCCUCGCGACCGCCUAUAUCGCUGAGGAAGACAUGGAGACGAUGUCCUGGCCGUAGAUGGAGCAGAUCAUCUGCAAGUCCCAAUAAAAGGGGAGAGAAGUGUAGCCGCCCAGGAAGCAUUGCGGCGUGACUGGCUUGCUCGCCGGAGUGCACGUGCAUCUAUUGGAUGGUGCGUGCGGCUCCGUCGAACUUGCCUGUCUGCGUCACGCGCAUGGACAUCAGAUUGACGUGCGGCUGCCUGCACACCAGCAAGGGGGUGUCACUCACCAGGACACGACGGCGGCAAUGCGAGCCAAGGGGGGCUGUCAUCCGCCACGCUUUAGGAAGGAGCAUCUCCUUUGAAGAGGGGGUGGCGUUGUUCGUCGGUCUCCACCUGGGGCUUCAUCGCGUCCUCAUGAGCACAAUGGGGAGCCGAAUCCGAGUGGAUCGCCGCCUCUCUAGUCUACUUCACCACUUCCUGUACAUCUCACCAAGGUGUAGCUUCGGGUGCAGCAAGGCUUUACUGCAGCGGAACCAGGAUGCAAAGGCUGCAAGUGGUUUAUAAAGUUCAAGCACUGUGUACAUGGUGAAGCUACUCAGUUUAGGAUAAUGAAGAGGAGGACGAGAAGACAUGCAGAGUAUCUGGACCUGUAGCUGGUUGCAGCCUGCAUCACUUGGAAGCUGGAAGACCCUAAGACAAGGAGGAGACAACAUCAUAUGCCUAGCUUGGUCGAGCUAUCUAUGCGCAGCAGCUUCCUAGCACCUUAAUUAGCUCUGCGAUAUGGCUUACAAUGCAUUGAGCCGAGAUUUCAAGGCUCGAACGAGUUCUGUAACGCAACAACUUCAUGAUGUAGAUCAAGUUUCCUUGUCGUGCAUUGUUCUGUAUUGCGGUAUCUCCCUUUGAUUAGACCCCUGAUUGAGUUGAACUGU